rnacentral:rRNA from 1 species
CCUACGGGAGGCAGCAGUGGGGAAUAUUGGACAAUGGGGGGAACCCUGAUCCAGCCAUGCCGCGUGUGUGAAGAAGGCCCUCGGGUUGUAAAGCACUUUCAGUGAGGAAGAACGCCUGGUGGUUAAUACCCAUCAGGAAAGACAUCACUCACAGAAGAAGCACCGGCUAACUCCGUGCCAGCAGCCGCGGUAAUACGGAGGGUGCGAGCGUUAAUCGGAAUUACUGGGCGUAAAGCGCGCGUAGGUGGCUUGAUAAGCCGGUUGUGAAAGCCCCGGGCUCAACCUGGGAACGGCAUCCGGAACGGUGAAGCUAGAGUGCAGGAGAGGAAGGUAGAAUUCCCGGUGGAGCGGUGAAAUGCGUAGAGAUCGGGAGGAAUACCAGUGGCGAAGGCGGCCUUCUGGACUGACACUGACACUGGGGUGCGAAAGCGUGGGUAGCAAACAGGAUUAGAGACCCGGGUAGUC